rnacentral:rRNA from 1 species
GAUGAACGCUGGCGGCGUGCUUAACACAUGCAAGUCGAACGGAAAGGCCCAAGCUUGCUUGGGUACUCGAGUGGCGAACGGGUGAGUAACACGUGGGUGAUCUGCCCUGCACUUCGGGAUAAGCCUGGGAAACUGGGUCUAAUACCGGAUAGGACCACGUCUUGGAUGUUGUGGUGGAAAGUUUUUUCGGUGUGGGAUGAGCUCGCGGCCUAUCAGCUUGUUGGUGGGGUAAUGGCCUACCAAGGCGUCGACGGGUAGCCGGCCUGAGAGGGUGUACGGCCACAUUGGGACUGAGAUACGGCCCAGACUCCUACGGGAGGCAGCAAUGGGGAAUAUUGCACAAUGGGCGCAAGCCUGAUGCAGCGACGCCGCGUGGGGGAUGACGGCCUUCGGGUUGUAAACUCCUUUCGCUAGGGACGAAGCGUUUUUGUGACGGUACCUGGAGAAGAAGCACCGGCUAACUACGUG